GUUAAAAAGCUCGUAGUUGGAUUUCUGGUUGAAGCGACCGGUCGGGCGUUGAUUCGUCUUCACUGGAGUCGGUUUUGGCCAUCCUCUAGGAUAUUGCGUCUGGUAUUAAGUUGUCGGGCGUAUGAUCCUGGUCUUUUACUGUGAAAAAAUUAGAGUGUUUAAAGCAGGCCUUCGCCUUGAAUACAUUAGCAUGGAAUAAUAAGAUAGGACUUUGGUCUAUUUUGUUGGUUUGCAGACCGAAGUAAUGAUUAAUAGGGAUAGUUGGGGGUAUUUAUAUUCCGAUGUCAGAGGUGAAAUUCUUAGAUUUUCGGAAGAUAAACUUAUGCGAAAGCAUUUACCAAGGAUGUUUUCAUUAAUCAAGAACGAAAGUUAGGGGAUCGAAGAUGAUUAAAUACCAUCGUAGUCUUAACCAUAAACUAUGCCGACUCAGGAUUGGUGGACGUUUAUUUAAUGACUCCAUCAGCACUGAAUGAGAAAUCAAAGUCUUUGGGUUCCGGGGG
rnacentral:rRNA from 1 species